CUUCGGGUUGUAAAGUACUUUCAGUUGUGAGGAAGGGGGUAGUGUUAAUAGCGCUAUCUCUUGACGUUAGCAACAGAAGAAGCACCGGCUAACUCCGUGCCAGCAGCCGCGGUAAUACGGAGGGUGCGAGCGUUAAUCGGAAUUACUGGGCGUAAAGCGCAUGCAGGUGGUUCAUUAAGUCAGAUGUGAAAGCCCGGGGCUCAACCUCGGAACUGCAUUUGAAACUGGUGAACUAGAGUACUGUAGAGGGGGGUAGAAUUUCAGGUGUAGCGGUGAAAUGCGUAGAGAUCUGAAGGAAUACCAGUGGCGAAGGCGGCCCCCUGGACAGAUACUGACACUCAGAUGCGAAAGCGUGGGGAGCAAACAGGAUUAGAUACCCUGGUAGUCCACGCCGUAAACGAUGUCUACUUGGAGGUUGUGGCCUUGAGCCGUGGCUUUCGGAGCUAACGCGUUAAGUAGACCGCCUGGGGAGUACGGUCGCAAGAUUAAAACUCAAAUGAAUUGACGGGGGCCCGCACAAGCGGUGGAGCAUGUGGUUUAAUUCGAUGCAACGCGAAGAACCUUACCUACUCUUGACAUCCAGAGAAGCCAGCGGAGACGCAGGUGUGCCUUCGGGAGCUCUGAGACAGGUGCUGCAUGGCUGUCGUCAGCUCGUGUUGUGAAAUGUUGGGUUAAGUCC
rnacentral:rRNA from 1 species